UACGGAGGGUGCAAGCGUUAUCCGGAAUCACUGGGUUUAAAGGGUGCGUAGGCGGCUUGGUAAGUCAGGGGUGAAAGCCUCCCGCUCAACGGGAGGACUGCCUUUGAUACUGCCGGGCUUGAAUCAGGCCGAGGGCAGCGGAAUGUGGCAUGUAGCGGUGAAAUGCAUAGAUAUGCCAUAGAACACCGAUUGCGAAGGCAGCUGCCUGGGCCUGGAUUGACGCUGAGGCACGAAAGCGUGGGGAGCGAACAGG
rnacentral:rRNA from 1 species